rnacentral:rRNA from 1 species
AGCGAACGCUGGCGGCAGGCCUAACACAUGCAAGUCGAACGGAUCCUUCGGGAUUAGUGGCGAACGGGUGAGUAACACGUGGGAACGUGCCCUUUGGUUCGGAACAACUCAGGGAAACUUGAGCUAAUACCGGAUGUGCCCUUCGGGGGAAAGAUUUAUCGCCAUUGGAGCGGCCCGCGUCUGAUUAGCUAGUUGGUGAGGUAACGGCCCACCAAGGCGACGAUCAGUAGCUGGUCUGAGAGGAUGAUCAGCCACACUGGGACUGAGACACGGCCCAGACUCCUACGGGAGGCAGCAGUGGGGAAUCUUGCGCAAUGGGCGAAAGCCUGACGCAGCCAUGCCGCGUGAAUGAUGAAGGUCUUAGGAUUGUAAAAUUCUUUCAGCGGGGACGAUAAUGACGGUUCCCGCAGAAGAAGCUCCGGCUAACUUCGUG